CUUAAUAAAGCAGGCCAGGGGAGGGGGCAGCAGAGGACUAUUACCCCUUGGAACUGCGUUGGAGAAAUUUAACUAGGAGAGGAGUCGAGUCUGGGGACUAGAGGCACACCAGAUGAAUUACUUAGGGAUGAAAAAUUUAUCUGAGUGGUUGUGGUGUCUGAAACAGAAAUGAGACAGCAUCUAUUUAUAGCUUCACUUGGAUGCAGAGCUCAGACUACACUGUGAACUGCCAGCCAUGUGUUUAUUACUCAUUACAUUUCUGACUUAUGACAGGAAUAAAACCACAAAGACAUAAGGAAGUCUUUCUUCACCAUCCAGCACUGUAUUUAAGGCUAGCAUUAUUCUGUAUUUUCCUUUUCUUUCCCACAAUAACCCUUUUUUGCAGUUAAACCCGCUGCCUACUUCUCUUGGUUUAUGAACUGUGGAUUCUUAUCAAUAAACCUGUAUCCGUUGGUGAUAUUAGUCUUGUGCUAUUCUGUCACUGUCUGCACUUGGAGUAUUAACAUGAAUAUUCCUGGGAGGAAACCCUUUCAGACUUCCAUGAAGAGAAGAGGAUCACCUGAGGCCCUUCUGGGAUAGACCAUUUCUACCUACGCUGUCCCUCCAACUUCUCAGGGAG